AACGAACGCUGGCGGCAGGCUUAACACAUGCAAGUCGAACGCCCCGCCAGGGGAGUGGCCGACGGGUGAGUAACGCGUGGGAACAUACCCUUUUCUACGGAAUAGCUCUGGGAAACUGGAAUUAAUACCGUAUACGCCCUACGGGGGAAAGAUUUAUCGGGGAAGGAUUGGCCCGCGUUGGAUUAGCUAGUUGGUGGGGUAAAGGCCUACCAAGGCGACGAUCCAUAGCUGGUCUGAGAGGAUGAUCAGCCACAUUGGGACUGAGACACGGCCCAAACUCCGACGGGAGGCAGCAGUGGGGAAUAUUGGACAAUGGGCGCAAGCCUGAUCCAGCCAUGCCGCGUGAGUGAUGAAGGCCUUAGGGUUGUAAAGCUCUUUCACCGAUGAAGAUAAUGACGGUAGUCGGAGAAGAAGCCCCGGCUAACUUCGUG
rnacentral:rRNA from 1 species